GACGUAGGGCGCAAGCGUUGUCCGGAUUUAUUGGGCGUAAAGAGCUCGUAGGCGGUCUGUCGCGUCGGAUGUGAAAAUCCAGGGCUCAACCCUGGACCUGCAUUCGAUACGGGCAGACUAGAGUUCGGUAGGGGAGACUGGAAUUCCUGGUGUAGCGGUGAAAUGCGCAGAUAUCAGGAGGAACACCGGUGGCGAAGGCGGGUCUCUGGGCAUUAACUGACGCUGAGGAGCGAAAGCAUGGGGAGCGAACAGG
rnacentral:rRNA from 1 species